rnacentral:rRNA from 1 species
AUACGAAAGGUGCAAGCGUUGUUCGGAUUUACUGGGCGUAAAGAGAGUGUAGGUUGUUUAUUAAGUCGGACGUGAAAUCCCGGGGCUCAACCUCGGAACUGCAUUCGAUACUGGUAGACUAGAGUUCGGGAGGGGUAAGCGGAAUUCCGUGUGUAGCAGUGAAAUGCGUAGAUAUACGGAGGAACACCUGAGGCGAAGGCGGCUUACUGGACCGAUACUGACACUGAGACUCGAAAGCGUGGGUAGCAAACAGGAUUAGAAACCCCAGUAGUCC